GCCUACGGGACGCAGCAGUGAGGAAUAUUGGUCAAUGGGCGGGAGCCUGAACCAGCCAAGCCGCGUGAGGGAAGAAGGUACAGCGUAUCGUAAACCUCUUUUGUCAGGGAACAAAGGCGGGGACUAGUCCCCGGAUGAGGGUACCUGAAGAAAAAGCAUCGGCUAACUCCGUGCCAGCAGCCGCGGUAAUACGGAGGAUGCGAGCGUUAUCCGGAUUUAUUGGGUUUAAAGGGUGCGCAGGCGGCCUGUUAAGUCAGCGGUCAAAGCCCGGGGCUCAACCCCGCCGAGCCGUUGAAACUGGCGGG
rnacentral:rRNA from 1 species